ACCCGGGUGGCUCAGUCGGUUGAGCACCUGACUUCAGCUCAGGUCAUGAUUUCAUGGUUCGUGAGUUCGAGCCCUGCAUUGGGCU
rnacentral:tRNA from 1 species